CUUAACACAUGCAAGUCGAGCGAAGCACUUUUGCGGAUUUCUUCGGAUUGAAGCAAUUGUGACUGAGCGGCGGACGGGUGAGUAACGCGUGGGUAACCUGCCUCAUACAGGGGGAUAACAGUUGGAAACGGCUGCUAAUACCGCAUAAGCGCACAGUACCGCAUGGUACCGUGUGAAAAACUCCGGUGGUAUGAGAUGGACCCGCGUCUGAUUAGCUAGUUGGUGGGGUAACGGCCUACCAAGGCGACGAUCAGUAGCCGACCUGAGAGGGUGACCGGCCACAUUGGGACUGAGACACGGCCCAAACUCCUACGGGAGGCAGCAGUGGGGAAUAUUGCACAAUGGGGGAAACCCUGAUGCAGCGACGCCGCGUGAGCGAUGAAGUAUUUCGGUAUGUAAAGCUCUAUCAGCAGGGAAGAAAAUGACGGUACCUGACUAAGAAGCCCCAGCUAACUACGUGCCAGCAGCCGCGGUAAUACGUANGGGGCAAGCGUUAUCCGGAUUUACUGGGUGUAAAGGGAGCGUAGACGGCAUGGCAAGCCAGAUGUGAAAGCCCGGGGCUCAACCCCGGGACUGCAUUUGGAACUGUCAGGCUAGAGUGUCGGAGAGGAAAGCGGAAUUCCUAGUGUAGCGGUGAAAUGCGUAGAUAUUAGGAGGAACACCAGUGGCGAAGGCGGCUUCUCUGGACGAUGACU
rnacentral:rRNA from 1 species